GUGCCAGCAGCCGCGGUAAUACGUAGGUGGCAAGCGUUAUCCGGAAUUAUUGGGCGUAAAGAGUGAGCAGGCGGUUGAUUAAGUCUGAGGUUAAAGCGUGGGGCUCAACCCCAUAAAGCCUUGGAAACUGAUCGACUAGAGUACGGGAGAAGUGAAGGGAACUCCAUGUGUAGCGGUGAAAUGCGUAGAUAUAUGGAAGAACACCAGUGGCGAAGGCGCUUCACUAGCCCGAAACUGACGCUCAGUCACGAAAGCGUGGGUAGCAAAUAGGAUUAGAUACCCUAGUAGUCCACGCUGUAAACGAUGAUAACUAAAUAUUGCCGCGAGGCAGUGUUGAAGCUAACGCAUUAAGUUAUCCGCCUGGGGAGUACGGUCGCAAGACUGAAACUUAAAGGAAUUGACGGGGACCCGCACAAGCAGUGGAGCAUGUGGUUUAAUUCGACGCAACGCGAAGAACCUUACCAGGGCUUGACAUAUUGAUUACUACCUUCUAAGAGAUUAGAAGAGACUAUAAAUACAGGUGGUGCAUGGUUGUCGUCAGCUCGUGUCGUGAGAUGUUGGGUUAAGUCCCGCAACGAGCGCAACCCCUUUCCUUAGUUGCCAUCAUUCAGUUGGGAACUCUAAGGAUACUGCCGAUGUAAGUCGGAGGAAGGUGGGGAUGACGUCAAAUCAUCAUGCCCUUUAUGUCCUGGGCGACACACGUGCUACAAUGGCCGGUACAAAGAGACGCGAAUCCGCGAGGAGGAGCAAAUCCCAUAAAGCCGGUCUCAGUUCGGAUUGGAGUCUGCAACUCGACUCCAUGAAGCUGGAAUUGCUAGUAAUCGCGAAUCAGCCAUGUCGCGGUGAAUACGUUCCCGGGUCUUGUACACACCGCCCGU
rnacentral:rRNA from 1 species